rnacentral:lncRNA from 1 species
GGCUGGGGCUGCAGCUCAGUGGUAGAGCACCUGUCUGUCACGUGUAAGGUACUUGGUUCUAUCCUCAGCACCACAUAAAAAUAAAUAAAUAAAUAUAUUGUGUCCAUCUACAACUAGAAAAAAUUUAAAAAAUAAAUAAAAAAACAUAUCAUUCAUCAUCCUUAUAAUUUUCAAGUAUACAGUUCAGUAGUGUUAAGUAUAUUCACACUAUUGUGAAACAGAGAUUUAGAACUUUUUCACCUUGGAAACUGGAAAUUCUGUUAACUCCACUGAUUAACUCUCCUUUUUCUCCCCUCCCCCAGCCCCUGAUAAACACAAUUUUACUUGCUGUUUGCAUUAAUUUCACUGCUUUUAAAUACUUCGUGUGAGUGGAAUUACACACUAUUUGUCUUUUGUGACUGGCUCAUUCCAUUUAGCAUAAUGUCCACCAGGCUCAUCCGCAUUGUAGCAUGUUGCAGGAUUUUCUUCCUUCCUGAGGCUGAAUAAUAUUCCACUGCAUUAUCUACCACACUGGCUUAUCCUCCCAUCCAUCACUGGACACUUGGUUUGCUUCCGCUUCUUGGCUGUUGUAAGUAGUGCUGCUAGGAGCGUGGGUGAGAAAAUAUUUCUUCAGCAUUCUGCUCUGAUUCUUUUGGAUAUAUAUCCAGAAGUGGAAUUGCUGGAUCAUAUGGUAAUUCUAUUUUUUUUCCUUCUUGAGGAAACUCCAUACUGUUUUCCAUAGCAUUUGUGCCAUUUCACAAUCCCAUCUAUAGAACCUAAGGAUUCACUUUCUACACAUUCUCACCAGCCCUGUGGUUUUGUUUUGUGUGAUAGCAUCCAUGCUAAUAGGUGGAAGGUGAUACUUUGUUGUGC